GCUCUUAUGGUGGAAUAGGCAGACACGGUAGCCUCAAGAGCUACUGAUAUUUGAUAUCGUCCCAGUUCGACUCUGGGUAAGAGCACCA
rnacentral:tRNA from 1 species